AGUGAACGCUGGCGGUAGGCCUAACACAUGCAAGUCGAACGGCAGCACAGUAAGAGCUUGCUCUUACGGGUGGCGAGUGGCGGACGGGUGAGGAAUACAUCGGAAUCUACUUUUUCGUGGGGGAUAACGUAGGGAAACUUACGCUAAUACCGCAUACGACCUACGGGUGAAAGCAGGGGAUCGUCGGACCUUGCGCGAUUGAAUGAGCCGAUGUCGGAUUAGCUAGUUGGCGGGGUAAAGGCCCACCAAGGCGACGAUCCGUAGCUGGUCUGAGAGGAUGAUCGGCCACACUGGAACUGAGACACGGUCCAGACUCCUACGGGAGGCAGCAGUGGGGAAUAUUGGACAAUGGGCGCAAGCCUGAUCCAGCCAUACCGCGUGGGUGAAGAAGGCCUUCGGGUUGUAAAGCCCUUUUGUUGGGAAAGAAAAGCAGCAGGUUAAUACCCCGCUGUUCUGACGGUACCCAAAGAAUAAGCACCGGCUAACUUCGUG
rnacentral:rRNA from 1 species